rnacentral:rRNA from 1 species
AGCAGUGGGGAAUAUUGGACAAUGGGCGCAAGCCUGAUCCAGCCAUGCCGCGUGUGUGAAGAAGGCCUUCGGGUUGUAAAGCNCUUUUGUUGGGAAGGAAGGCCUUCCGGUUAAUACCNGGUUGGGUUGACGUUACCCACAGAAUAAGCACCGGCUAACUUCGUGCCAGCAGCCGCGGUAAUACGAAGGGUGCAAGCGUUACUCGGAAUUACUGGGCGUAAAGCGNGCGUAGGUGGUCUGUUAAGUCNGAUGUGAAAUCCCCGGGCUCAACCUGGGAACUGCAUUUGAAACUGGCAGGCUAGAGUGUGGUAGAGGGGGGUGGAAUUCCUGGUGUAGCGGUGAAAUGCGUAGAGAUCUGGAGGAACACCCAUGGCGAAGGCAGCCCCCUGGACCAACACUGACGCUCAG